rnacentral:rRNA from 1 species
UACAGAGGUCUCAAGCGUUGUUCGGAUUCAUUGGGCGUAAAGAGCGCGUAGGCGGUCCGAUAAGUCGGCUGUGAAAGUCAGGGGCUCAACCCUUGGAAGCCGGCCGAUACUGUCGGACUAGAGUCCGGAAGAGGCGAGUGGAAUUCCCGGUGUAGCGGUGAAAUGCGCAGAUAUCGGGAGGAACACCAAUGGCGAAGGCAGCUCGCUGGGACGGUACUGACGCUGAGGCGCGAAAGCGUGGGGAGCGAACAGG